UGACUAUUCAGUUUCAGAUUACUGCCAAUUAAAACACAGAAGAAGAGGUCCAGGGAGGAGAGCACAUUGCACCAAGGACCUUCCAUGGAUGACUUUGCAGAACCUGCUCCCUUUCCAUCAUUUUGGCAGACUGCAAAUCAGAAGAUUUGGAUGAAACAAGACAAGGAUGAUGCCAGAAUCUUCUGGGGAUGAAGAGCUCAAUCCUACAAAGUAUGGCUAUUGUGUAUUAACACCAGUGGGCAGUUACACAUUGGCGGCCUGAGACAACAUUCC